rnacentral:piRNA from 1 species
UGUAAAUUCACAACGAUAUCCGUGAUGGUU